rnacentral:rRNA from 1 species
UACGUAGGGUGCAAGCGUUAAUCGGAAUUACUGGGCGUAAAGCGUGCGCAGGCGGUUUUGUAAGUCUGUCGUGAAAUCCCCGGGCUCAACCUGGGAAUGGCAAUGGAUACUGGCAAGCUAGAGUGCGGUAGAGGGUAGUGGAAUUCCCGGUGUAGCGGUGAAAUGCGUAGAGAUCGGGAGGAACACCAGUGGCGAAGGCGGCUACCUGGACCAGCACUGACACUGAGGCACGAAAGCGUGGGGAGCAAACAGGG